CUUGUACUCCCUCCGUCCCAAAAUUCUUGUCUUACAUUUAUCUAAAUACGGAUGUAUCAAGUCAUGUUUUAGUAUUAGAUACAUUCGUAUCUAGACGAAUCUAAAACAAGAAUUUUGGGACAGAGGGAGUAUGUU
rnacentral:pre_miRNA from 1 species